rnacentral:rRNA from 1 species
GUGAAGAGAGCUUGCUUUCUGGAUCAGUGGCGAACGGGUGAGUAACACGUGAGCAACCUGCCCCGGACUCUGGGAUAACAGCUGGAAACAGCUGCUAAUACCGGAUACGAGCUGCGAAGGCAUCUUCAGCAGCUGGAAAGAAUUUCGGUCCGGGAUGGGCUCGCGGCCUAUCAGCUAGUUGGUGAGGUAAUGGCUCACCAAGGCGUCGACGGGUAGCCGGCCUGAGAGGGUGACCGGCCACACUGGGACUGAGACACGGCCCAGACUCCUACGGGAGGCAGCAGUGGGGAAUAUUGCACAAUGGGCGAAAGCCUGAUGCAGCAACGCCGCGUGAGGGAUGACGGCCUUCGGGUUGUAAACCUCUUUUAGCAGGGAAGAAGCGAAAGUGACGGUACCUGCAGAAAAAGCGCCGGCUAACUACGUGCCAGCAGCCGCGGUAAUACGUAGGGCGCAAGCGUUAUCCGGAAUUAUUGGGCGUAAAGAGCUCGUAGGCGGUUUGUCGCGUCUGCUGUGAAAACCCGAGGCUCAACCUCGGGCCUGCAGUGGGUACGGGCAGACUAGAGUGCGGUAGGGGAGAUUGGAAUUCCUGGUGUAGCGGUGGAAUGCGCAGAUAUCAGGAGGAACACCGAUGGCGAAGGCAGAUCUCUGGGCCGUAACUGACGCUGAGGAGCGAAAGGGUGGGGAGCAAACAGGCUUAGAUACCCUGGUAGUCCACCCCGUAAACGUUGGGAACUAGUUGUGGGGUCCAUUCCACGGAUUCCGUGACGCAGCUAACGCAUUAAGUUCCCCGCC